GGGGAGAUUCAGGCUGGAUUUUAGGAAAUACUACUUCUCUGAAAGGGUGGUCAGGCACUGGAAUGGGCUGCCCAGGGAAGUGGUGGAGUCACCGACCCUGGAGGUGUUCAAGGAACGUUUGGACGCUGUGUUGAGAGACAUGGUUUAGUGAGAACUAUUGGUGAUGGGUGAAUGGUUGGAUUGGGUGAUCCUGUGGGUCUUUUCCAACCUUGUUGAUUCUAUGAUUCUAUGAUUCAUCCUUUUUCUCAGCCUCUCUGCAGGGCUAAUGAGAAUGUACAUGUACACACAUUGCAUUAUUGGGCUAUGCAGUGUAGAAUUUUUUUUACAUAUUUGAACAAGUUACCUGGUCUGUGGAAGAUGAAUUUCAACCAUUUGAGUUGCUUAAAGAAAGCUAGAUGUCUUUCCAUACUGUAUAUUGGCCAGAAGUCACCUGGAAUUACAGACUUGAUACAGACAUUGCUGCAUGAAACCCUCUGACUUUUUCUACAUUGCAGACAGCAACAAAAUGAACAUGGAAAUCCCUCCUAGCUUUAACAUUCAUAAAUAACUGAACCACUUACCUGUCUGAAAAAGAUGAUGACCAAAACAAAUCUCAGUAUGUAUAGUUAAUUUUUAAGCACUCUGCUACCAAGCUGUAUUGUCACCAGGUUACAUCUUCAGCCUUCGUUUAUACGCUUACCUAGCAACAUCUCAUCUAUGAAGCUCUGAGCUCUCUGGAGCCUUGGAAGACUCUCUUUCAUCAGUGUGAAGUGGAAGUGAAGACAGCCAAAGUCUUGGGUCUCAUCUUGCUGCUCUCAGAUCCUUGGCCAAUGGCACUCUGGAUAGUUCCAUCUACAGCAAAUCUUACGGUGCAACACCCGCAGUUCAUGCACUGGUGUAGAACUUCCCAGUAUCUUUGAACCUCUGGGUGAGGCCAGUGGCAUCUGAAUGAGAAAUGGAAGCCUCAGAAUGACAUGGGUAUGGAAGACUCAGUUUGCAGAGUUAAGGUCACACAGUGUGUGAUUUCUCUUUUCCAAAUUCCUUAAUGUCAAUGUAUGAUAAAAUACACUUUUAGUUAAUAACCAUAGUUCAUAAAAAUUAACAUGAGACUCCUGCCACCCAUACUGGAAGCAGACUGAACAGGAAUCACAGCAUCCACCAAAUUCUGUUUGUUCAAUAAAACCAACGGCAAAAAAGAGCAAGGGAGGAGUAUGUUGACAAAAUGUGCAGUACACUAUAAAGUAUUUGACACUUCCUCAGACAUGCCAAAGGCAACUGGGCUCUGGAGUAUUUGGAAAGAAGGAGAAUGAAGUACUUUACUGUGUUAAUGCUAGGAGUUAUUGUAUUGUAUUGUAUUGUAUUCCACUACUGACUAAGGAAGAUGGUGGUAUCUAUUAAAGAUCUUUUUUUUUUAAUGGCAAAACUUUUCCAAAAUCUCCAAAAGACCAUGGAAACCCCGGGGAAAAAACAGAUGGCUGGAAAAAAAACUAAAUUAAUGAUGAUAUUUACAAAUCAAGGAUAACAUAGAGGACACAGAAAAUGGUUAAUAUGCCAUCAGUAUAAGGCGAAACUGAAGAAUCUGGAUAACUAUUAUCCAUGAAAAGGAAUAAAAGAUACACAAUGAAAUGUAUAAAUGCAAAACAAUAUGGGCUUAUGGCAAAGUGAAACAAACCUAAUAUUAAAAAAUAAAUAAAUUUUUUGGUUGAUCAAGAUAGAUGGAAAGAUUUCUUUAAAACAUUUAGCUUCAUUCUGCAUUUAACCCUUAUUUAUAAAACUGUUUCUUAAAAUACCAUUGUUGAAUAUGUAAAAUGGGCUUAAGCACUGGCUAAAUAAUAGUCUCAAUGAAUAAAUGUGCAAUACUAAAUAACAAAUUUUGCUGAAUGGGAUUCUUCUAUGGAUUUAGGGGUCUGAAAGUCCAGAUUCCAAAACUGUUUUCACAACACACCAAAAAGUGCAGCCUAGGGAUAUGUGCACUGGAGAACACUGAUGAAAAAUGAGGAAGAGAUUUAACUUCCACAUGUUAGAAUGAGAUAAAUGCUAGAAUAACUCUCUUUGUUCUGGCACAUUCACUUUUAAAAAGUUGUUGAGAAAUUUGAGACAAUAUCACAGAGACACAAAAAUGAUGAGAGGACAUGGAGCAAAUGCUUCACAGGCAAAAGCUCACAAACCUCAGUCUGUUCAUUUUAUCAGAGAGAAGACUGAAAACUGACUUGGAGACAGUGUAUAAAUACUUGGAUGAAAAACAAAACAAAACAAAAAGUUCUCUAAAGAGCUCCUCUAGAAUCAAUGCCUGGAAGCAGAAAGCAGAGAAAUUAAUCCGAAAAAAUAAUGUACAUAUUUUUAAUAGUGAUUUUCACUUAAGCAGAUUAUCCACAGGAUUUUUUUCUUCCAUUCCUUAGGAUGUUCAUCAGGAUUUGGUGCCUCUGUAAAAAACCGUGCUUUUGUCAGAAGCAAAUCUUCAGGCUCCAGGCAUGCAAGUAGGCUGCCUCUUAGAAGACUAUGGAACGUCACUGAGGUGGCCAAUGCCAAAUGCACAUGGAGAUGCAGUGGGACAAACGAUGAAGAAAGAUGAUUAGAUGAAGAGGAAAAUGUCUUUGGAGUUAUGAAAUGACUGAUUAACAUGAAAACCUUGUGGCUAGUUUACAAGGAUAUUGGAUUUAGCAGGAGAAUUACUGAAAAUCAAACAAACUCGUAUUUAUGUAAAGACACACAUCAGAGUGACUGAAAGAACAUUUAUUUGAAAAAAAAUUGAUUUCAUUUCCAUCUUUCACCAGGAAACUAUUCUUUAUGAAGAAAGAAAAAUGUGAGUCCUUUGCAAAAUAUGAGAUCCAUUCAAUAUCCACUCCCUCCUUGAAAGUCUUGUCACACUUUUUUGCUAUUAAUCAAUGAUCUGUAAGAUGGCCAGGCUUUAAUCGAAGGAAAUGUUAUUAUUCUGCAGGUAAAAGCGUUUGCAACAUGCCAAAGGGUGUUUCUUUAAACUUUAAUGGAUAAAGCCUAGAGAGCAAGUUUCAUUAGUCUGUAGAGAAAAAACAUUUAUUUAUCAUAAUGUGUGAAGCCACGAGUUUUCUGCAUUUGCUUAUGAUCCUGACAAUUUUCAGAUAAAAUUAUAGGAAUAAUCAUGAAAAAGCCCCUGAAGCCUUAGAAUAUUUCCUGUGAGGAAAGAAGAGAUUGUUUCUGUCUGAUAAUUUAAUAAAUAAAUAAAUAAAUAAAUAGGAACAAAACCUAGCAUUUAAAUUCAAGCUAAAUAAAAAUCUUAAAAGGUUUUGUCUUUUCUGUGAGUACAAGGAACACAGGGAGUUCACUAGGAGACAUUUACCUUCUUGUUCUUGAGCUUAGGGGUCUGAACAGUUAUGCCCCCAAAGCGGCAGCUUCCUGUAAUAUUGACCGAACCACCUGAGGCUCCCAGCUCUGGGAAGCCAGGCUGGAUAUUUUGGAAGAAAGAUCUUUCCCCAGAGAUUUCAGGUACUUUCACUCUAGAUUUCAGCUAUAUCACUGACAAUUUUAUUUGUGCAGUUCUUGUGACGGUCCCAGUUGCUGAGUGCAAGUGAAACCCUUACCUCCCAGAUUAUGAAUUCUAUAAAAAGUCUUCUUAUAUUUCAAGAGUGGACAAAGGUUUACAGAGAGCACUCAGAUUAGAAGGAAGUAUGUACUGUGCUAGAAUGUUAGAAUACAGUAUGAUGAAUCCUGGUUCCUAUUUAAGGAAUUAAAAAUAGUGAUG
ensembl:lncRNA